UGACCUUUCAGUCUUAGGUCAGUCUUUGUGAUUUUCGAUGCGAUUCUGGAAACAAAAAUGUAAAAAUGAUCUCUCCUGGUUAAAUAUUUUCCAGUCUCCGGUCAUUGAUCGUAAAUCCUACCAAUGGUUAUCCUAUUUCAAUCCAUCAACUGUUCAAUGUUUGGUAAAAUAAUUACGAUAAUACUAUUGAGUUUACCUUUCAUGAUCAAAUUGAAUUUUAGGGUUGAAAGGAUAAAUGGAGGCUCUGAUUUGAAGUUGAACCAAAAUUGUUGAAAAAAUAAUUUCCAAGUGCUCGUCAAGUAUAAGUGAAUAAUAUUGAAAGUUUUUCAGGCUUAAGGUUAAUUGAAAUACUUUCUGCUGGUUGACCAGCCUUUAAACUAUGGCUUGAUUAACAGUGCAUAAAGCUAAAUUAAAUGAGUUCUAUAAUUGUUUAAUUAAUCUAUCCAUUUAUGGUCAAUCCUAGUCAAUGAUUCAUGUUUUAAAUCGAUCAUGAUUUAACAUUGAAUCAAGCUCAACCUACGAGCUUUCCGUUACAAGGAAUACCCUUCUAUGUUAACCUUUGUUCAUCCAACAGUGAGUUAAUUUGAUUGUUAACUUUUCACUUGUAAAAUUGACAAUUUCAUAGCUAACCACAGUUCAUUAUUUACACAAUUAUUAUUGACCUGAUGGACCAGUCAAGUGUAUUUGCUGACCUUUGAAAACGCACAGCAAAUUUGAAAUGUACGGAUAAAUGUAUUGCCAAUAUCGCUGUAAUCUGUCAUGGAUCAAGAUUCUUGGUUUUUACACCAUUUGGAAAGGAGUCAGAUUAAACCGUUUAUCAAUUAAGGUUACUUUGACAAUUUAGGAGAAGCUUCAGAAAAUGAUUACUCACGCGCUGAUAUGGUUUGUUAAAUUGGAUCAAUAAUCAGAGUGAAUUUAAUCAUCGAAAUUUGUUGUUUUAAAAAAUGUGCUGCCAGGUUAACGACAAUUUAAUAUUUGAUAUUAAUUUACUCUUAAAAUUUCCAGUUAAAAAGUAGAAGCGAAAAGGAUAACCUGGCAAACACAGUCGUACAAGACAGUUGACAAGUUGACUCUCUAGUUGUUUCCAAAGCAAUCUUGUUAAAUUAUAUUCCAAUUCAAGUUUAAUAUCAAAGGAUAAUCUCACCGACAAUGGAACCCAAAUCCACUCUCAUCAUUCUUGUGCUACUAUUAAUCAGUGUCUCUGUCUCCAUGGGAUCCAGAAAGUACAGAGAAGGACUGCUUCUUGGUUAUCUUAUGGCAACUCAAAGUAACACCAAGCAUCAUUUGGUUUCUCCUUACCCUGUAUACGUUCCUCAUCCUACUGGUUAUGAAUAUUGCUCUGGUUGCUGGGGUUGAUUGAUGUUUCAAAGAUUUCAAACCAAUAUUCACAUAACGAUCACAUUUCAACUAUUUAUUAUCAUUUAUCAUCAAUUUGUCCGGAUUUCAUUGAAAAUUUCAAGCCUCAAACUCCAACACUAUUCCUAAACACCUGUUAAUCUCAUCAGACAAAGCUGUUUAUUUUUCGUAUUACAACUCUCAAGCAACUCCAAAGGCUUAACUAAUUCCUUUACUGAUGAUGUAAAUUUAUUCAUCGCCUUUACCAUUACUUUUUUAUCUGAAUUCAGCUUUUUUCCACUGAAAUUCCAUAGAAAGUAUUUUAUAACUGUUAUCUCUUCCAAUUACUAUUCCUAUUUUAUUUGUAUUUUUUCAUUUCCAAAUUUCUCUGCUUUCCAGGUAUCAUUGAAUGAUAUUUGUUAUGCAAAGCCCAAGGUUACUUGACAUAUUUAGUUACAAUGUACCUUGAAACUGAAUCUUAUCCUGAUUGUAUCAUGUUAACAGUGAUGAGUCAAUGGGACGAGUAAGGCAACUUGAAUAUGAAAAUUAUUCCUGUCUUCAAAUGACAUUUCAUGUCUAUCCUACUUCAACAGUAGUCAUAACUUUUUUUCACCGUGUUAAUCCAAUUCUCUGUGUUUUGAUUAACAACAAUUGAAUCCCCAAAGAAAAGGUUUUAACAAUGCAAACAUUGGCAUAAUUAAAUGAAGCUGGAGAGAUCAAGAAGAGGCAACAAAAAGUCAACUUGGUGGACAUGGAGGACACUCGACAGUUACAUUUGUAUCUGUAUUUGAAUUGUUUAAACACACAUUUCCAAGUGCUGCCACAAAUCAAACCUUUGACCUUUUCACACCUUUCCUAUUGAUUAUCCAAUAACCAUGUUACCAUCCCACUUCAAUUGUUUGUAAUUAUGUGGAAACACAUGUUGACAACUGAACCAUAGACUGGUUUGAAAUUGACAUUUUGUUUUUAAUUUAAAAAUCAUUAAAUAUUACAUGCAACUUGA